AAUAAGCUUCUUCCCAAGUUCUCCUCCGACUUCUUUCCUUUCUCAGUUUUCCCGCAGAAAAAUUCCUUCUAUCAUUCCACUGAAACCAUUCGACUGACAAUAAUGUGAAAUUAACCUUCGCCUCAAGUUUCUUCUCGCUUUUCAUGCAAUUACCUCGAUGGGGUUAAUCGACAAAAGUGUUAGUAACAAACAGGUACGGAUGUUCGUGAGACAUUGAGGCCUGGGAAUUAUCAAAGAAGAAGUUUCAUGGUGAACCACUCAAUAGUUGGGUCGAUGCAGCUGAGAUUCAACUACGGGUCAUCGCUAGAACGAGUACUAUAAUUUUUGUUUAUCCAGAUGUCUGAACUUAUGUGAAAAAAAUUGUUGAAGUAUUAACUUCUGAUUAAUAGAAGGAGAAAAGAAAAUCGUUUUACUGAUGCAUUUUACUGUUGUGUCAUAGUUCUGCAAACAUGAAAGGUAAGUUUGAAAAGAGUUGGUGUUUGCCAUUGUGCAACACACGUGCACUCUACUUGUGUUUUUAAGAAGGAUAACUAGGGUUUGUAAUAGCCAUUAUUGUGAGUACACAUAACUAUUUCCAACGAUUUUCAUCUUGCAAUGUUUUUAGAUUUA